UAGGGAAUCUUCCGCAAUGGGCGAAAGCCUGUCGGAGCAACGCCGCGUGAGUGAUGAAGGUCUUCGGAUCGUAAAACUCUGUUAUUAGGGAAGAACAAAUGUGUAAGUAACUAUGCACGUCUUGACGGUACCUAAUCAGAAAGCCACGGCUAACUACGUGCCAGCAGCCGCGGUAAUACGUAGGUGGCAAGCGUUAUCCGGUAUUAUUGGGCGUAAAGCGCGCGUAGGCGGUUUUUUAAGUCUGAUGUGAAAGCCCACGGCUCAACCGUGGAGGGUCAUUGGAAACUGGAAAACUUGAGUGCAGAAGAGGAAAGUGGAAUUCCAUGUGUAGCGGUGAAAUGCGCAGAGAUAUGGAGGAACACCAGUGGCGAAGGCGACUUUCUGGUCUGUAACUGACGCUGAUGUGCGAAAGCGUGGGGAUCAAACAGG
rnacentral:rRNA from 1 species